rnacentral:rRNA from 1 species
CCUACGGGAGGCAGCAGUGGGGAAUAUUGCACAAUGGGGGAAACCCUGAUGCAGCGACGCCGCGUGAGUGAAGAAGUAUUUCGGUACGUAAAGCUCUAUCAGCAGGGAAGAAAAUGACGGUACCUGACUAAGAAUCCCCGGCUAAAUACGUGCCAGCCGCCGCGGUAAUACGUAGGGGGCAAGCGUUAUCCGGAUUUACUGGGUGUAAAGGGAGCGUAGGCGGCCUGGCAAGCCUGAUGUGAAAUCCCGGGGCCCAACCCCGGGGCUGCAUUGGGAACUGCCAGGCUGGAGUGCCGGAGAGGCAGGCGGAAUUCCUAGUGUAGCGGUGAAAUGCGUAGAUAUUAGGAGGAACACCAGUGGCGAAGGCGGCCUGCUGGACGGUGACUGACGCUGAGGCUCGAAAGCGUGGGGAGCAAACAGGAUUAGAUACCCGGGUAGUC